rnacentral:rRNA from 1 species
UACGGGGGGAGCAAGCGUUGUUCGGAUUUACUGGGCGUAAAGGGCGCGUAGGCGGCCACCGCAAGUCGACUGUGAAAUCUCCGGGCUUAACUCGGAAUGGUCAGGUGAUACUGCUUUGCUAGAGUGCAGAAGGGGCAAUCGGAAUUCUUGGUGUAGCGGUGAAAUGCGUAGAUAUCAAGAGGAACACCUGAGGUGAAGACGGGUUGCUGGGCUGACACUGACGCUGAGGCGCGAAAGCUAGGGGAGCAAACGGG